GAUGAACGCUAGCGGCAGGCCUAAUACAUGCAAGCUGAACGGUAAAUAUUGUAGCAAUACAAUAUGAGAGUAGCGUGAGGGUGCGUAACACGUAUGCAAUCUGCCCUGUACAGGAGGAUAGCUCGGGGAAACCCGGAUUAAUACUCCGUAAUAUUAUUGGGAGGCAUCUCUUGAUAAUUAAAGUCGCAAGACGGUAUGGGAUGAGCAUGCGUCUGAUUAGCUAGUUGGUGGUGUAACGGACCACCAAGGCGAUGAUCAGUAGGGGAACUGAGAGGUUGAUCCCACACACUGGCACUGAGAUACGGGCCAGACUCCUACGGGAGGCAGCAGUAGGGAAUAUUGGUCAAUGGAUGCAAGUCUGAACCAGCCAUGCCGCGUGCAGGAAGAAGGCCUUCUGGGUUGUAAACUGCUUUUGCCGGGGGAUAAAAAGUCCAUGCGUGGACAAUUGAAGGUACCCGGUGAAUAAGCCACGGCUAACUACG
rnacentral:rRNA from 1 species